rnacentral:misc_RNA from 1 species
AACGCACCUUGCGCUCCUCGGUGUUCCGAGGAGCAUGCCUGUUUGAGCGUCAGUAAAUUCUCAACUCCUCUCGAUUGACUUCGAGUGGAGCUUGGAUAGUGGGGGCUGCCGGAGACCUGAAUAUUCGUGUUCGGGACUCGGGCUCCUCUGAAAUGUAUUGGCUUGCGGUCUGUUUUCGACUUUGCAUGAUAAGGCUUUUGGCGUGAUAAUGAUCGCCGCUCGCCGAAGUGCAUGAAUGAAACCGUGCCGUGCCUCUAAUCCGUCGAUGCCUCUAUGGGGCGUCUUCUUUACGCAUUUGACCUCAAAUCAGGUAGGACUACCCGCUGAACUUAA